GACGAACGCUGGCGGCGUGCCUAAUACAUGCAAGUAGAACGCUGAAGGAGGAGCUUGCUUCUCUGGAUGAGUUGCGAACGGGUGAGUAACGCGUAGGUAACCUGCCUGGUAGCGGGGGAUAACUAUUGGAAACGAUAGCUAAUACCGCAUAAGAGUAGAUGUUGCAUGACAUUUGCUUAAAAAGUGCAAUUGCAUCACUACCAGAUGGACCUGCGUUGUAUUAGCUAGUUGGUGGGGUAACGGCUCACCAAGGCGACGAUACAUAGCCGACCUGAGAGGGUGAUCGGCCACACUGGGACUGAGACACGGCCCAGACGCCUACGGGAGGCAGCAGUAGGGAAUCUUCGGCAAUGGACGGAAGUCUGACCGAGCAACGCCGCGUGAGGGAAGAAGGUUGUCGGAUCGUAAAGCUCUGUUGUAAGGGAAGAACGAGUGUGAGAGUGGAAAGUUCACACUGUGACGGUAUCUUACCAGAAAGGGACGGCUAACUACGUG
rnacentral:rRNA from 1 species